GACCCCUGAAUACACCAGAUUUGGAUUAAGGUGCCUAGGAGGAGUAAGCCUCCCCUGUCGACCGGUCACACCCACCGUGAGCCCUGUAUCUUGAUCAGGUAAACGGAGAUAUCCGCAGUCCAAAUCAGUGCGCCAAGAACGCCCUAAGAAUCAGUAUGAAACAAAGUCAAACAGCUUUUGACCCAAUCAAAGUUUCUAAGCGAAUAAGAUAAAGUAUCGACAGCAUAUACGUAAAAGGUUAAUGUUUUAAUAAAAUGAAAAAUGUGAUUUGAAAAAAAAAAUACGCAAAAAAGCAAUGGUUCACAAAUUAACGUUCUGAAGUUAUUGAUGAUAAUAGCAUUAAUUCAUCUUGAAUUUAGAUCGCCUGAAGAAAGCAUUUGUAAAUGAGCAAUGUAUGGUUAUCUUGAUAGCCAAUGGGAGACCUGUACGUACAAUAUAAAUAUUUCGUAAUUCAUUGCCAUAUUUGGCAGAUAAACGUUCGUAACAUCUUCCAUUCCCACAACUACUAUUGCAAAUCCGAUUGUAGAGAUGAACACCAGAGCUUUGCUUGUCCUGGUGUGUCUGUUCUCGCUGAUGAUUGCGGACUACUCUGUUCAAGGCCUAGGUCGUUGUAAGACACGUAUUGGGUGCUCAGGAUGCGGAAUACGAUGCAGGGUCAGGGGAUUCAGGACUGGGUAUUGCAGAUAUUCGUUUUUUUGCCCAUUUAGAAGGAAGUACAGAUGCAAGUGCUCGAGAUUCGGUUGAAGUAAAACAACCUAGAACAUUAAAAAGUAGUAAAAGGGGUGAAAUAAACUGUUUAAAAUGUG